rnacentral:lncRNA from 10 species
AUGACUCUUAACGAGCAUGCUGCCUUCAAGCAUCUGUUUAACAAAGCACAUCUUGCACCGCCCUUAAUCCAUUUAACCCUGAGUGGACACAGCACAUGUUUCAGAGAGCACAGGGUUGGGGAUAAGGUCACAGAUCAACAGGAUCCCAAGGCAGAAGAAUUUUUCUUAGUACAGAACAAAAUGAAAAGUCUCCCAUGUCUACUUCUAUCCAUACAGACCCGGCAACCAUGCGAUUUCUCAAUUUUUUCCCCACCCUUCCCGCCUUUCUAUUCCACAAAACCGCCAUUGUCAUCAUGGCCCAUCCCCAAUGAGCCGCUGGGCACACCUCCCAGACGGGGUGGUGGCCGGGCAGAGGGGCUCCUCACUUCCCAGUAG